UACGAAGGGAGCUAGCGUUGUUCGGAAUUACUGGGCGUAAAGGGCGCGUAGGCGGACAUCUAAGUCAGGGGUGAAAUCCCAGGGCUCAACCCCGGAAGUGCAUUGGAUACUGGGAGGCUGGAGUACCGGAGAGGAGGGUGGAAUUCCUGGUGUAGCGGUGAAAUGCGUAGAUAUCAGGAGGAACACCGGUGGCGAAGGCGGCAUCCUGGACCGGCAUUGACGCUGAGGCGCGAAAGCUAGGGGAGCAAACGGG
rnacentral:rRNA from 1 species